CCCCACUGCUAUCGGGAUAGGACUAAGACAUGCUAGUCGAGUGACUCAGGCAAAACGAGUCACGGCACACAGCUCAGUAACACGUGGCUAAUCUGCCCUUGGGACUAGAACAACCCCGGGAAACUGGGGCUAACUCUAGAUAGGUGAAGAACUCUGGAAUGAGUCUUUGCCUAAAUAGGUUCACGUUAUCCUCGUGAACUUGCCCAAGGAUGAGGCCGCGACCGAUCAGGUUGUUGGCGAGGUAAUGGCUCACCAAGCCUUUUACCGGUGCGGGCCGUGGGAGCGGGAGCCCGGAGAUGGGUACUGAGACAAGGACCCAGGCCCUACGGGGCGCAGCAGUCGCGAAACCUUUGCAAUACACGAAAGUGUGACAGGGCUAUCCCGAGUGCCACCCGCUGAGGAAGGCUUUUACCCAGUCUAGAACGCUGGGGGAAUAAGGAGAGGGCAAGUCUGGUGUCAGCCGCCGCGGUAAUACCAGCUCUCCGAGUGGUGUGGAUGUUUAUUGGGCCUAAAGCAUCCGUAGCUGGCUAGGUAAGUCCCUUGUUAAAUCCACCGAAUUAAUCGUUGGAUCGCGGGGGAUACUGCUUGGCUAGGGGACGAGAGAGGCAGACGGUAUUCUCGGGGUAGGGGUGAAAUCCUAUAAUCCCGGGAAGACCACCAGUGGCGAAGGCUGUCUGCUAGAACGCGCCCGACGGUGAGGGAUGAAAGCUGGGGGAGCGAACCGGAUUAGAUACCCGGGUAGUCCCAGCUGUAAACGAUGCAGACUAGGUGUUUGGACGGCCACGUGCCGUUCUAGUGCCGCAGGGAAGCUGUUAAGUCUGCCGCCUGGGGAGUACGAUCGCAAGAUUGAAACUUAAAGGAAUUGGCGGGGGAGCACCACAAGGGGUGAAGCUUGCGGUUU
rnacentral:rRNA from 1 species